GGGGCCGUCGUCUAGCUUUCAUGACAAAGUUCAUGGCUAAAGUGCAAGUGGUCUUGGGUUCAAAUCCCAACGGCCCCG
rnacentral:tRNA from 1 species